rnacentral:rRNA from 1 species
UGUAGUCAUAUGCUUGUCUCAAAGAUUAAGCCAUGCAUGUCUAAGUAUAAGCAAUUAUACAGCGAAACUGCGAAUGGCUCAUUAAAUCAGUUAUCGUUUAUUUGAUAGUACCUUACUACAUGGAUAACCGUGGUAAUUCUAGAGCUAAUACAUGCUAAAAAUCCCGACUUCGGAAGGGAUGUAUUUAUUAGAUUAAAAACCAAUGCCCUUCGGGGCUCUCUGGUGAUUCAUAAUAACUUCUCGAAUCGCACGGCCUUGCGCCGGCGAUGGUUCAUUCAAAUUUCUGCCCUAUCAACUUUCGACGGCUGGGUCUUGGCCAGCCGUGGUGACAACGGGUAACGGAGGGUUAGGGCUCGACCCCGGAGAAGGAGCCUGAGAAACGGCUACUACAUCCAAGGAAGGCAGCAGGCGCGCAAAUUACCCAAUCCCGACACGGGGAGGUAGUGACAAUAAAUACUGAUACAGGGCUCUUUUGGGUCUUGUAAUUGGAAUGAGUACAAUUUAAAUCCCUUAACGAGGAACAAUUGGAGGGCAAGUCUGAAUCG